GUAGAUAUAGUUUAAUUAAAACAUUAGAUUGUGAUUCUAAAGAAAGGGGUUAAUAUCCCCUUAUCCACC
rnacentral:tRNA from 2 species